rnacentral:rRNA from 1 species
UUUUCCUACGGGGGGCAGCAGUGGGGGAUAUUGCACAAUGGGGGAAACCCUGAUGGUGCGACGCCGCGUGGGGGAAUGAAGGUCUUCGGAUUGUAAACCCCUGUCAUGUGGGAGCAAAUUAAAAAGAUAGUACCACAAGAGGAAGAGACGGCUAACUCUGUGCCAGCAGCCGCGGUAAUACAGAGGUCUCAAGCGUUGUUCGGAAUCACUGGGCGUAAAGCGUGCGUAGGCUGUUUCGUAAGUCGUGUGUGAAAGGCGCGGGCUCAACCCGCGGACGGCACAUGAUACUGCGAGACUAGAGUAAU